GAUCCUCCCCUUUCUGUUUAUUGACGGUGGUUUCAGGUAUGUGCUGUUAGCAGGUAGCAGCUCGCUGACCCUUCCAAUUACUGUUCAUGUGGCAUUAAUGAUUUGUUUGUUGCAUCCUAGCUUGUCUUUUCAUCUGUGCGUGUCUCCUUCGGUUGCUUCAAAUAGUGGAGUUGAUGACUGCCCUCCUUUCAGUUUAGCAGCGGGUUAUAUGAAGGCUGUGUAUCCUGGUCUGUGAACGGAUCAUAAAGCACAUUUGUCCUCGUUGGAUUCUCCCUUUCGUUCUGGGCGAUUAUUGUUGCCGCGCUGUCGUUUUUGCUACCGCGCUGCAAGAACGCUGUUACCUCGCAACUAAUAAAAGGGGAUUGCUGCUGCUGUCUGGUUUCUUCUUUUUUUUAUUUUUCGUUUAUUUAAUUUCUUUGUUUUAUCUCGGGGCGGAGGAUCGUCUAUUUGAUUAUUGGAGCUGGCGUACAGACUUACGAGUCCUGUUUUCCUCGUAGUUUGAAUUGAGUUUGUUUUUCUUCCUUUUUUUGAAUAUUUGUAUAUUGUAAUUUCAUUUCUGUUAUAAGAUUUAUCUAUUUUGUUUUUGAUUUUCUUUCAGGAGCUGGGGUUCCACGGGUGGUGGUGGCUGCGUCAACGUUUGCCGUGUGACACUUUUGAAGUGUUUGGGUGUGUGAUCUGAGUGCACGGCGGGGUGUGUGGAAGUGUGUUUUUUUGGAUAAAUAGGGCUGGUGAUCACUCCUGUGGGUAACCUCAGCCCUGUAGGUUGGUCUGUCUUUGUUUAUUGGACUGUCAUUUGAGAGUGAGCUGCUAGGAGUGGCCCCUUAUCAUUGUGAUUAUUUUAAGCAAUUUUUCUAUCUUGUUGAAUUCAUUGUGAAUAAAUUUUGUAUUUUUAUACGAUCCCUACGUUUCCUGCCUACCUUUUUUUUUUUUAUAAGAGAAGCGAACCUGUGUGACCUAAUAAUAAUCUUUAGGGUUUAUCUCUAUUUCCUGGGUGAAAAUCCCCCAGGUGGCGUAGUCGAAUCUUCUAUAAGUAGAUGAACUUGGGCUUGUGUUAAAACCUGUACUGCACUCACUCCGCCACAUUCUGGCAUAGUCGGCAGGAUUCUCUAUUGUGUAG